AAGUCUUUAGUAUAAUGGUAUUAUGCUGGUCUCCAAAACCAUGCGAUAAAGGUUCGAAUCCUUUAAGACUUGCCA
rnacentral:tRNA from 1 species